AUCACUUCUUGGCCUUUUGACUAAGAUCAAGUGUAGUAUCAGUUGAAGUCUUGGCAUGUCCUCUCUUUGGGGGCUCUGCCCUGCCUUGGCAGCAGGCUGGGCUCAGUGACCUCCUAGCCCUGUAACUACCAUCA
rnacentral:snRNA from 1 species